AACAUGCAUGUGACAGGGGAGAGGCAGAGGAAGAAGCAAACUCCUGGCUGAGCAGGGAGCCCAAUGUUGAUCCCAGGACCCUGAGAUCAUGACAGGCACUGAAGUCAGAUACUUCGACUGAACCACCCAGCUGCCUCUAAGACCUUUUUAAGAAUAACUAUGUUCAGAUUGCUUCCAGUUCCCUGCUCUACAGAAAAGCUACACCAAGCAUCAUCAUAUACAAACCGCUAAGGACCCGUGAGAACUACUUGGAAGUGAAGAUUCAUGAGGGGAACUGCUGAGUCAUGACUCUGUCUACCCAGGCACUGAGGCCAAUUUUACCUCCAAGGCAUCUCUCAACUUGAUCUGUCCUUUCCCAUUUGUAUUGCACAGCUUGAAGCCCUCACCAUGGUUCAGCAGAGGCAGCUGAGGAAUGAGUUGGUACGUUGCUAUCCCUGCUUCCAGCCUGUUCUCAUGCCCCUCCCUCCCUUGCACUGCUAUCAAAUUGACCUUCCUAAAAGCAUAGCUUGGGUCAUCUCACACCCUGUUGUAGACUUCCAAUUCUUCAUAAUAGGUUAUUGAAUCAAGACUUGAUUUUUUUUUUAAGAUUUUAUUUAUUUAUGUGUGUGUGAGAGAGAGAUAGUGAGAGUGAGCACAAGCAGGGAAGAGAGGGAGAAGCAGCCUCCCUGCUAAGCAUGUGGGUCUCAAUCCCAGGACCCUGGGAUCAUGACCUGAGCCAAAGGCAGACAUUUAACUGACUGAGCCACCCAGGUGCCCCUCAAGUCUGUAUUCCUUUCCCUGCUUAUGCCAAUCUCAGUUUACCUCUGAUGCUUUCUCUCCUGCUGCUCCCCAUCCUGCCGACUUGUGUGUACAUGAGAAACUGGGCUGUGGUGAGGCUGCCAGGGAGGAGUGAUGGAGCCACCUGACACUUCUCUGCACUGGUGUCCAUGCCAUUCUAAGAGCUCCAGGAUGCACCUACUCAAUUGGGAAGGCCCAGCCGGGAUCACGGUCUAAGUCUGAGCUGCCCAGUCUUUUCUUUUUAAGUUAAAGCAACUGAUGUUUAAAGAAAAUUGAGGGCAGCCGGGGUGGCUCAGCGGUUUAGCAUCGCCUUCAGCCCAGGGCGUGAUCCUGAAGACCUGGGAUCGUGUCCUGCGUCAGGCUCCCUGCAUGGAGCCUGCUUCUCUCUCUGCCUGUG